GGACCGCAGAGGUGAGAGUCGCGCCCGGGAGUCCGCCGCCUGCGCGAGGAUGGAGUUCGUGAAAUGCCUGGGCCACCCCGAAGAGUUCUACAACCUGGUGCGCUUCCGGAUCGGGGGCAAGCGGAAGGUGAUGCCCAAGAUGGACCAGAUAACAUCACAUGAAGGCCGUUUCUGGAAUGAAGUCUGACUCCAACAGUUUCACCACCUCCUCCGGAGCUCUCCCCGCCUUGCUGCCUUCCAUUGCUUCAUCCUCGGUGCUUCCUGAGUUUUAAAAUCGCCUAUCUACGCUUCCAAGUUCCAAUGAGUUAUCUGUACGUCUAUGGAUUAGCUAGGUGGUUGGUGGAAGGUCAGAACUUGGUUUUAGUUAGAUUUUAUCUGCCUCAUGCCUGUACUGUUUGUUUAAUGAAUGCAUAGGAGGUGUUUUUAUUCCAACAAGAAAAUUAUUCGUACGUGAUUAUUGAAUGAAUAGACAAAUUCAGCCAAGUUCUUCUGGUCUGGACCAGCCUGGCUGAUUUCUGUGACUUUUUUGGGCCAACAGGACAGUAGCAAAUGUGACUCAGGCCGAGGCUUGAUAGGUGCCUGAACAUCGGAGUCUUUCUUUCAGUGUCCAUGUGCUUCAGUAAACACACUAGCAAAUAAAUU
rnacentral:sRNA from 1 species